rnacentral:miRNA from 10 species
CCUUAUUCAACCUGGUUGUGGUG